AACGAACGCUGGCGGCAUGCCUAACACAUGCAAGUCGAACGAUCCCUUCGGGGAUAGUGGCGCACGGGUGCGUAACGCGUGGGAACCUGCCCUUAGGUUCGGAAUAACUCAGAGAAAUUUGAGCUAAUACCGGAUAAUGUCUUCGGACCAAAGAUUUAUCGCCUUUGGAUGGGCCCGCGUUGGAUUAGCCAGUUGGUGGGGUAAAGGCCUACCAAGGCGACGAUCCAUAGCUGGUCUGAGAGGAUGAUCAGCCACACUGGGACUGAGACACGGCCCAGACUCCUACGGGAGGCAGCAGUGGGGAAUAUUGGACGAUGGGCGAAAGCCUGAUCCAGCAAUGCCGCGGGAGUGAUGAAGGCCUUAGGGUUGUAAAGCUCUUUUACCCGGGAGGAUAAUGACAGUACCGGGAGAAUAAGCCCCGGCUAACUCCGUG
rnacentral:rRNA from 1 species